GAGUACGCGUGGGUAACCUGCCUUACAGAGGGGGAUAACAGUCUGAAAAGACUGCUAAUACCGCAUAAGCACACAGUACCGCAUGGUACAGGGUGAAAAGAUUUAUCACUGUAAGAUGGACCCGCGUCUGAUUAGCCAGUUGGCAGGGUAACGGCCUACCAAAGCGACGAUCAGUAGCCGACCUGAGAGGGUGAUCGGCCACAUUGGGACUGAGACACGGCCCAAACUCCUACGGGAGGCAGCAGUGGGGGAUAUUGCACAAUGGGGGAAACUCUGAUGCAGCGAACCGCCGCGUGAGUGAAGAAGUAUUUCGGUAUGUAAAGCUCUAUCAGCAGGGAAGAUAAUGACAGUACCUGACCAAGAAGCCCCGGCUAACUACGUGCCAGCAGCGGC
rnacentral:rRNA from 1 species